rnacentral:rRNA from 1 species
AUUGAACGCUGGCGGCAUGCUUUACACAUGCAAGUCGGACGAGUGGCGAACGGGUGAGUAACGCAUCGGAACGUACCGAGUAAUGGGGGAUAACUGUCCGAAAGGACAGCUAAUACCGCAUAUUAUUCGAGCGGCCGAUGUCUGAUUAGCUGGUUGGCGGGGUAAAGGCCCACCCAGGCGACGAUCAGUAGCGGGUCUGAGAGGAUGAUCCGCCAACAUGGGACUGGGGACCGGGCCAGAAUCCUACGGGAGGCAGCAGGGGGGAAUUAUCCGAAAUGGGCGAAAGUCUUGAGGAGCAAAGGCGGGGGGGGGAUGACAGGCCUCGGGUUGUAAAGUACGUUAAGCGGGGAGACGGUACCCGAAUAGAAAGCAACGGCUAACUACGUGCCAGCAGCCGCGGUAAUAC